rnacentral:rRNA from 1 species
CCUACGGGAGGCAGCAGUGGGGAAUAUUGGACAAUGGGCGAAAGCCUGAUCCAGCAAUGCCGCGUGAGUGAUGAAGGCCUUCGGGUCGUAAAGCUCUUUUACCAGGGAUGAUAAUGACAGUACCUGGAGAAUAAGCUCCGGCUAACUCCGUGCCAGCAGCCGCGGUAAUACGGAGGGAGCUAGCGUUGUUCGGAAUUACUGGGCGUAAAGAGUACGUAGGCGGUUAUUCAAGUCAGAGGUGAAAGCCCGGGGCUCAACCCCGGAACUGCCUUUGAAACUAGAUAACUAGAGUCUUGGAGAGGUUAGUGGAAUUCCGAGUGUAGAGGUGAAAUUCGUAGAUAUUCGGAAGAACACCAGUGGCGAAGGCGACUAACUGGACAAGUACUGACGCUGAGGUACGAAAGCGUGGGGAGCAAACAGGAUUAGAUACCCUGGUAGUCCACGCCGUAAACGAUGAUAACUAGUUGUUCGGUCACUUGGUGACUGAGUGACGCAGCUAACGCAUUAAGUUAUCCGCCUGGGGAGUACGGUCGCAAGAUUAAAGCUUAAAGGAAUUGACGG